rnacentral:pre_miRNA from 4 species
AAUAGAAUUACUGGGAUAUAUGGUAAGUACAUGUUUAACUUCAUGAGAAAUUGCCAGACUGUUUUUCAAAGUGGUUGUACCAUUUUGCAACCCCACAAGCAAU